rnacentral:lncRNA from 1 species
CACAUGAUUCUUCCCCCUUCCAUGAUUCCAGUGGCCAAUAGGAAUUCUAAUUGGAACAGACAAAAACCCAAUACAUGUUUAAGCAGUAAAGUAUUCAUCAGGUCACAAAAAGAGGAGCAAGAGGAGCUGACUCUUUAUGUCAUAUCUUGGCCUUGUAAUUUGAUUCUUUGCCAACAUGCAUGGUUUUUCUCCAUAGGCUGUGCAUUGGGACAAACUACAAUAAAGCCAUGCCCUGACUGGAUGUGCCUAACAUUUGUCUGGUGCUUAAAGGAGUUGGCUGCAUGCGUGGGAUGGAGAAGGAUUCAACAUUUAAUGGCAGUUAGAAUCAAAUUUUUAACUCAAGAAGGCAGAAGGAAUCCACCUAAAUAAAUGUUGGAAAGUCACCAAAAAUAGUUCUCCAAGUCAGAAGCGGUGCAAAAGCUGCCUCAGCUCUUGGUGGAUUUUCAAUUUCUCCCAGCCAUCUCUGUUUCGCUAAAGGUUUCUGAAGACAGUGGGUAUGUGGCAAACUUCUGCAAUUCUAUAUUAAGAUAAACUGUUAGAUCAAUUA